rnacentral:rRNA from 1 species
UACUGCUACGACUACCCUUUCAAAGCCCAAUCUGGUCUGAUCUCUUUUGCUAAGCAGGGCUGGGUCUGGUUAGUACUUGGAUGUAGGAGACCGCUGGGACUAUCAGGUGCCACAGUGG